UACGGGGGGGGCAAGCGUUGUUCGGAAUUACUGGGCGUAAAGGGUUUGUAGGUGGCUUGCUAAGUCGGACGUGAAAUCCCUCAGCUUAACUGGGGAACUGCGUCUGAGACUGGCAAGCUUGAGUGCAGGAGAGGAACGCGGAAUUCCAGGUGUAGCGGUGAAAUGCGUAGAUAUCUGGAGGAACACCGGUGGCGAAGGCGGCGUUCUGGACUGUAACUGACACUGGGGAACGAAAGCCAGGGGAGCAAACGGG
rnacentral:rRNA from 1 species